GAAAUGCGAUACGUGAUGCGAAUCGCAGAGAUCGGCGAGUCAUCCAAGUUUCGAACGCACCCUGCGCUCUUGGUGUUCCUGAGAGCGCGUCCGUCUGAGCGUCGCCCCAUUUCUUCUCAUUCACCUUACUCUGGUGAAUGGAUCAUGGACACUCGCUGUGAUCUACCAGUCAGUGGCGAUGUCCAGAGCAGAAAAGAGAUCGCAGUACCUAAUACAAACAUCAGUACAGUUCGGUACCGCAUUGGCAUCGAGGGGACUUGUCCCUUCAAGCCCAGUGCUCUGGUGCUGACUUGCAUGAAGUUAGUGAGAAGUCACUGCAGUCUCUGUAGAGACGAUAGAGUGCUACCAUCAAGGACCGACCUCAGAUCGGGCGCCAUAACCCGCCGAACUUAA
rnacentral:misc_RNA from 1 species